AAACCUCUUUUAUCAGGGAAGAAUCGAUGACGGUACCUGAUGAAUCAGCAUCGGCUAACUCCGUGCCAGCAGCCGCGGUAAUACGGAGGAUGCAAGCGUUAUCCGGAAUUAUUGGGCGUAAAGCGUCCGUAGGUGGUUUAUCAAGUCUGCUGUCAAAGCGUGCGGCUUAACCGCAUAAGGGCAGUGGAAACUGAUGAACUAGAGUGCGAUAGGGGUAACAGGAAUUCCCAGUGUAGCGGUGAAAUGCGUAGAUAUUGGGAAGAACACCAGCGGCGAAAGCGUGUUACUGGGUCUGCACUGACACUGAGGGACGAAAGCUAGGGGAGCGAAAGGGAUUAGAUACCCCUGUAGUCCUAGCCGUAAACGAUGACAACUAGGCGUGGUUCGUAUCGACCCGAGCCGUGCCGUAGCCAACGCGUUAAGUUGUCCGCCUGGGGAGUACGCACGCAAGUGUGAAACUCAAAGGAAUUGACGGGGGCCCGCACAAGCGGUGGAGUAUGUGGUUUAAUUCGAUGCAACGCGAAGAACCUUACCAAGGCUUGACAUCCUCGGAACCCUGAUGAAAGUUAGGGGUGCCUUCGGGAGCCGAGAGACAGGUGGUGCAUGGCUGUCGUCAGCUCGUGUCGUGAGAUGUUGGGUUAAGUCCCGCAACGAGCGCAACCCACGUUUUUAGUUGCCAGCAUUCAGUUGGGCACUCUAGAGAGACUGCCGGUGACAAACCGGAGGAAGGUGUGGAUGACGUCAAGUCAGCAUGCCCCAUACGCCUUGGGCUACACACGUACUACAAUGCGUCGGACAAAGAGCAGCCAGCCAGCGAUGGUGAGCCAAUCUCAUAAACCGGCGCUCAGUUCAGAUUGCAGGCUGCAACUCGCCUGCAUGAAGGCGGAAUCGCUAGUAAUCGCAGGUCAGCAUACUGCGGUGAAUACGUUCCCGGGCCUUGUACACACCGCCCGUCACACCAUGGGAGUUGGUCACGCCCGAAGUCGUUACUCUAACUGCUUGCAGAGGAGGACGCCGAAGGUGGGGCUGAUGACUGGGGUGAAGUCGUAACAAGGUAGCCGUACCGGAAGGUGUGGCUGGAUCACCUCCUUAAAAGGAGACCUACCCUCUCGCCUAACUUUAGUUAGGAUGAGAAAGGUCAACUAGGUCGUUCGAAGCUUUCCAAAGAAUUCGAUGUGCUUCUAAACUAUCCCGGUUCAGGGAUGGGGGCUAUUAGCUCAGGUGGUUAGAGCGCACCCCUGAUAAGGGUGAGGUCCCUGGUUCGAGUCCAGGAUGGCCCACUCCAUUUAUCUUCGAUUCAUUUUUGACUUUGAUAACUUGAUUAUCGCAAUCAAGUUAUUGAGCGAGUGCGAAUCACAACAAGGGGGUUUAGCUCAGUUGGUAGAGCGCCUGCUUUGCAAGCAGGAUGUCAGCGGUUCGAGUCCGCUAACCUCCACCAACCGAUAAAUUAGACAACCCGAUUAAUCAGUCAUCUGAUUAAUCAAAUGUCGGUUAAAUAAAUGAGGAUAUAAGUCAGCAACUUAUCUGCGACUCAUUUGAUGGAUGUAGAGAGCCUGCUGGAUUAUAUCCAGUCAAAGAACCAAGAAAACUGCAUAGUAAUGAUGUCAGGUAGAGAUACACAGACACCAAUGUAAAGGACUAGAACUGAUUGAU
rnacentral:sRNA from 1 species